GACUCAGAAUGGAUGCUCAUACUGUUAGCAACAAAUUCCUGGCUGAGAAGAACCAUCUGGAGAAAUGCAAUUGCACAAGCAAGAGACUGCUGGUAGAACAAAGGGGAACAGGUCUCUAUGCAUCUGAUAGGCAUUCAGCUCAGAAAAUGACUGCUCUCAUCUCAUCUAAAAGACUUAUGCAGAAAUAGGUUUGUUACUGACCUUGUCCAGCUCCUUCUGGAUCAUCCAGCACUUAGCCACUCCUAGCAGCACCUGGAUCUGACCCAGGCGGUUUCCAAUCUCUGUCAUGAUGCUCAUGGCAGAAUCGUACCGGGGAAAGGCUGUCUGCAGUGGCAAUGAGGAAAACACAUAUUUUGCUAUGGCCUGCUUUUCACACCCUCUUCCCGUCCCCGCUGUCCUUCAUGGUAGCUGUACCUGCACAUCUCUGCGACUGAGAUGAAUAUCAGCAAAGCACAGCAGACACAGUGCCUGCAGAGGCCGGUCACCGUGCUGAAGGGCAAUCUUCAUGGACUCCUGAAAGAAAUUGCCUUUGGUCAGUAAGGGAGCUCCUGGCUCAGAACAAAUGGAGCCGGGCUGUACGCUCCAGCCUCUGAAGGGUCAGCUCCAGAGAAAUGGCACAGCAUUUUUAGUUAGUUUAGAAAUACAGUCUUGUUCGUGUUCCUAACUAGAGGACAUUCAUAGGCUCAAAUUUUGAGGAACACAGUACUACUAAAACCAGAGCUCUAAGACUGGGAGACAGUGGGAAUACCUAGAGUCAAGUGUGAAAGCCACGGCUUCCCUCUUCCUCCCAGCCCUGUCCUGGAGGCAAGAUCUCAUUGCAGAGACCUCCACCAGCUCUGUGUCUGCUUGCACCCUGUACCUCACAGCAGUCCAUGGCGUCUGCCAAGCGCCCCAGUUUCCGGUAGGCUACUGCCAUGUGAUACUGGCUCAUUGCACGGUACUUCAAGCUCCAUCCUGCUCCAUAGUCAUUCACCAGCUCUGCUGCUUUACAUGGGAAGAACAAAGCUUUCUCAUAGUCCUGUAAGGCAGACAGACAGUAGUGACAGCAAAAGACAAAAAAAAAAAAAGAAAGAAAAAAAGCAACUAUUUUUGAUUUACUAAUAGCGCGACAGCUAGCAGGUUUUUGUACGCCUUUCUUCCCCUGCCUGUCCUCUUCCAUGUGCCCUGCUUUCUCUAUUGAUGUGAAUAUCAAACUGUGGAAGGUGGAACUGCCAUAUGCUGAAUUCAUAUUGCUCUCUAUUUUCAGGACACAUGAGAAAUGACACAGCGUAUGAAUUUUAUAUAGUAUGCCAACAGCCGUAUGCUGCCAGAAUCAUUUGUCCUCUUCCGUAACUGAAGCCUGAAAACUGUCUCUAGUUUUACAUUAUCUCUGCUUUCAGUACAUACAUGGAGCCCUCAUGUUCUCCAUAUGGCAAGUCAGGAUCUCUCAGAGGCUGGUUAUUCGGCACUGCAGGAAGCAGGAGCAAAAUAAUAAUGGCCUUACCAAAUCCACAAUAACUAGUUGAAACACACAUGCAAAAACAAACAAACAAACAACAACAACAAAAAAAACUAAGCACCUUUCUGCAUUAAAAAAAUUUAGAAAUCAAUCUUGUUUUAAGAUAAGUACAUAAAAGUAUUAAAGAUAUCUAAACCAUUCUCAAGUGAGAUACUUCAGGUAGCGAGUCUUCCAGUAGUGACAAAAAUCAAGACUUUUCAAGAAGAGAUAUGAUUUAUUACAUUUAUAAUGGAAGUUAGAACUGGCAAACCACCUCACCCUCAAUUCCUGCCUGGAAUAAUUAUUUGCCUGCAACAGCAGCUGAACUAGAAUCCUUUGAGUUCUGCCUGCUUGCAGACACUGCCUCCUCUGAUACGAUCUUGGAAGCUAAGAUUGAUCUUUUCAAUUCACAGCUGCUUCUGCUGCACUACAUAAGCAUUCCACCAAUCCUUACUGCAAAGUGGAGUAUUAUCUGAUGAUUUUACAGUAUAGAGAUUUAAACUUGAAACGUUCUGUCAACACUUCACUUCCUACAGCAGAUGUAAGUUGAAAUUCACAGUGCUUUCCAUAAUGAGACAAUUGCCCUCCCAUCCUCCCCUCCCUUGGAUUACUGCACCUUUAUCUGGGCAUAGAAGUUCCCAAGGCUACAGCAGACUCGACACUCCAGCAUCUUGUCGUCAUUGUUGUGUGCAUAGCGUAAAGCUUUUUCAAAGCACUCCAAAGCCUUCUGGAAAAUGCUGAGGCCCAGGAAGGCAUUGCCCAUGCUGAGGCUCACCUGGCCGUUCAGCUGCAGGCUCACAGUGGUACCCUGCAUGUUCAAGCAUGUCUUACAGUAAGAUAUUGUUUUCUGGAAUUCACAGAGUUUCUCAUUGCUGCGAGCCAGGUUUAGAUAGCCCUCUGUAAGGUAAUUAGGGUCUUCCAGCUCCCGUGCUGUGUCAAUCUGCACCACUGCGAACUUCAAGUAGAAAAGACCAUGUUUAUAAAAGGCAUGUAAUUUACUUAAACACAGCUCAAACACUCACAGAGUAGCAUCCUGCAAUGGAGAAGUGGCACAUCCCUGAGCAGGACAGCAUGGACCGUGUGGCAUUGUAUACAAUGAACAAUUAAUUAUCUGGAGGCUUACACAUAAGCAGUCUAUGCAUGUGAGCAGUCUGAAGAAACCUCUUUCUCAGCCUCUCGGACAUGGAAAUUGAGCUGGCAGUUAGUGGAAAAAAAUGUUAAAUGACCCUAAAGAGAAGCAGAUGAGGCAGAAAACCUCUGGCAGCUCUGCUUUCUUUUGCUCACAUAAUUAAUUCUGCUCUCUCUGGAAGGCUUAAGAUAUUGAAGUACUCAAAGAAAUGAAGUAAACUAUUUCAUCAAUUUUAUACUAACCAAUUAUAGUUUAGCAUUGUUUUUUUUUCUUCUGCGAUUCUCUGCAUAUGAUUGUAGUAAAUUUUAAGUCUUUUUUCUUUUAGACCUCGAGCUCUUCUGAGCAGGGACUCUCUUCUGUGCUCUCUGAUGAACCAAGCACACUGCUGGCUUGAAUUAAUACUCAUAGCAAAGGGGUAACAAAUUAUGGUUUGAGCAUCUUGGAUCCACUCGUUUGCCUGCUUCUUGCUUCCAUGAAGACUUUAGUAUUUUCUUCAGGUAGCCACACCUUACCUUUUUGCAUUCUCUCUUCCCUAAUCAGUUUGUUGUUUCUGCCACCACCUAGUCCCAGCGUUUCUCAGAACUGCUUGUUUGCCUUCAGACGUUUUCCAUGUGUGUUAAUGCCCCUUUUUUCUUCAUGCUAAUUAUCUGCUUCGUAGGUAAGGCUUUGACGUGUGCAUGGGUUUAACUCAUAGGAUCACCCCACCACUUCUAAACAGCUACCAGGAAUUUUUCAAGAGAUGUGGGCACCCCCUUCACUUUUUGUGCUACAUGCUGAACAAUUACUAGUCUAGUAAGAGGCAGCCAAAAACAUCAGAAUAUCAAGGCCCUUUAAUAAGACCCUAUUUCAGGCUGGGAUAGCUACUCAAGACUAUUAAAACACUUUCCUGUCUUCCAGAUUCCUGAGUCACUCUCCCAAACACUGUCUGCUACUAUAUGUAUGCAUCCCAUGACUUCUCAGACCCAUUCAUCAGCUUCUUUUUAUUCACUUCAUCAAAAGUGUUUAUCCUCAUGCUUUUUUGUAUGUAGCUUCAGCUUCUUUUUGCCACUCUUUGAUCAAGCCCUAUAUCCUUUCUCCAAUGCUGUCCUCCCAGCUCGGAGCCCCUCUCUGACCUCAGCUGUCAGAUUCCUCCUUGAACAUCUUUCAACAUCCACCCCCCACUCCCAAACGAGAAUCUCUGUUCCCCUCUUAAUCAGUCCCCGUGCAAACAACUGUAAUAGAAACAAUGUCAGAUCUGUGACAGAUACCAAGCAGUUGAACAAGAUAACAGACACCUCUUCACAAGACUAUCGCUUAUUCUAUAGAAUCUACUUGAAGAUCUCUAUUUACUCUGACAUACACACUAACAACAGUUUUUGCUGGAGUAAAGGUUCUGUUUUCAUACCUUUCUCUGAAGCUUCAUCACAUGGUGUGCCUGUAUGAGGAAUAAAUCAAGAAAGGUCCCCACAAUUACCGAGAGAACCUCAUUAACCUAGGAAUCCUGAAGGAUGAGACCCAAUAAGAAGUUGUACUCUGUGUAUCUUGUAAGCUGAAGCUAUCAACACAGUAAUUAAGGCAGCUCACAACAUGCUCCCAAUAGCCAGUACAUCUUACUCUAUGCAAUAUAAAAGCCCUGAUUUUACAUUCUAAUCUCCAGCCACACUCUGUAGUGGGUGCAACACAAUGGCAUGCAUUCAUCUCCAGUUUGCCUUACCUUCAGCAUAUCUUUGUAUCUGCCCAUCUCUGCAUGAGCAGUGAUGAGGCAACCCAAAACGCGAAACCUGCCAGCAGGAUCCGCAGACUUCUCCAAAACCCUCAUCCAGACUUGCAGAGCCUUUUCAGUUUGAUUAGAUUGGUAAAGAUGGAGUCCUUUUUCUAUCUGUUGCUUUGUCUGGUCCUGACCCAUCUCCCAUGCAUUAAAAAGCCUCAUAUACUAAACUCUAAAUGCAGCAAAAACGAAGAGCCUGAGAGAACACAACAUAAAAUGCCCUAAUUACAGAAGGGCAGGUUGUGUGCUCAGAAAGCUUGGAGCUAUAAAAGCCCAGCCAUGCCAGGCAGCUGGAGCUGUGGAAGGCAAUGGCAAGAAGUGGCUGUUUGGUGAUGAAGGUAGAAUCCCAAAUCCACUAAACGAAUGUCUUGCUCACUAAGACUACAUCAGUGCACUUGCCUGUCCAAUCCCAUAAACAAAGACGAAAAGCACAACAGGGGGAGAAAGAGAAAAAUCUCAAGUGACUGGAGUGAAACUCAAUCUGAGCAGCCACUGCUAGGCAUCUCCAUUGGUUGCAGCUGUUCCUGCCAGUCUGGUUCACGUGGCUCCCAGGAAUGCUGGUCAGGCUUCCAGCCUCCAAGGUCAGAGUGAGCCAACUGCCCACCCCAGCCUGCCAGUAUGCAGCUUAUAAAUACCUCACAGAGAGACAGACAAUCAGCUGCAGACACAGGGAUGUUAUGUUUGCCUCUUUUCUUACUUGCCAUUUUCUUUUGCAAAAGCACUGUGGUGAUGGGGUAGCCUGGGAGGUAGUACGCUCAGCUAGCAUUUUAUCUCUAGGAAAAAUAUAUACUCUAAGAAGUAGGUUAUGUUUUAAAAAAGGAAUCCAAAAAUUCCAGUACGUACACUGUACAUGCAACAACAUGCCUGACAGCAGAGCGCAUCCAGAGAGGGCCACAAAAAUGAUCCAAAGGAUAGAACACUUCUACAAGGACAGGCUGAAAGAGCUGGGGCUGAUCAGCCUGAAGAGAAGGCUCCAGGGAGAGCUGGUACUCUGUCUUCAACAGGAUUUGUUAAAGGCAUUUUUGAAGUUCUACAUCCAGACUUCUCUGAACUGUAAUGAUGAAUAACAAUGAACUAAGGCAAUACAUUUCUGCACCUUCUGCUCCACGUAAGACUCUCAGCCCAAUUUGAAGAUAGCUUUUAAUUCUCCUGUAUAUCUUUAACAGAGUAAAGUUAGACUGGUUACUCUAGGAAGCAAGUUUCAUACCUCCAUUGAUCCGGUAUGCAUUUUUAAUUGACCCAGCCUUUGAACCAUCUAUAGACUUACUCUGUCCUUCAGAAGAAGAGAUACCUAACUGUGGGGGGUGUGAAGAUACAUUAGGGACAUGUAAAGUUUUUCAGAUACAGAAGUCCCUGACACAGUUUUCUGAGUCUUUUCCUGGCCAAAGAGAAGAAAUGGUAAUUCAGAGUUUCAACAACAGACCUCUAUACAGAAGCAGGCAUAUCUCCAGCUACAUCCAUGCUUCUAUAUGAAUAUGAUGUCUGAAGCAAAGGCAAUAACUGAUAGAAUGCUGAUUGGAUCAUCCUGGUCUGGGUCAUGGCUGCCUAAGGAAACACGAACCCAAAAGAGACUUCCUGACAGAAUACUCUUAGAGAAACCAGGACACACAAGAAUAAGGAAUCAGAGUCUGGAGAUUCCAUCCAUGCCUUUAUCCAAAAUUUUAAUCAGAAAACUAUUGAAAAUAUGUACUUCUUCAAUGGUAGAAAUCUUGAUACCAUCAGGCUUAUUUUCUUUUGGGAGCUUAUAAACUCUUUGGUAAUCUCAUUUAAUUUAGCAUUGUUUUUCAGAGAGGUGAUGUGCUAGGAAGUGUUUCAGCAGAGCCUCUGUAUACUCAAACUUUGGAAGUAAACUAUGGAAAAAAAACCUACAGAAGAGUGAAGGAAAGAAAAGCUAACACAGAGCGAGUUAAUGCACAAAGCCAACACUGUUAAAAUUAUCUAGUUCCCUUAGAUUUCAGGGUUUCUUUAAAAGCCUGAUUCGGAAUAUAAAAAACCCUCCUUCCUGCAGUGAUUUUUAUAUGCCUCUCCAGAGGUGGGUGAUGGGAUGGACACAGGAUGAAGACUGAUCCCUGCGGAAAGCAGUAAUAAUGGUGUGGCCAUUGAAUUUCUACUUGUACUUGUAGAAACUUAAGAGAUCCAGAGACAGCAGCCAUAAAAGAAUUAAGUCAGUCAGGACUCAAAAAAAGGGAAACAAAAACAAAACAAAACAAAAAAAAAUCACAUAAUUCUUUGCUGGAGCAGACUACUUCACUUUCAUACCUGUCUGUAACUUAAAUGUCCUGCAUUUUGCUGAUCAUACUGUACUUCCUUGCUUUUGAGUUGCGUGCUAUACUCCAAUGAAACAGUGCUUAGUCUCCUAAGAAUCCACUAAAAUAAUCUGCCAAGCUGAAAACUUAACUUAGAGUUUGGAGAACCACCAAGCUCAAACUAAUCAUCCUCAAUAAGCAGAAACAUACUGUGAUAUGGAUGAUACCACUUUGAGCCCAAUAAAUCUGUCUAAAUAAGGAGGAGUAAGUGGAUAGCAUCACCUACAUACUGACUACCAAUACUUGAGAAUUUAAUGGCAGGGUGAUCAGUAUGCGGCUCAAGACUGCUCUAGAUCACAUGAGAAACAAAUACAGCUUCUAUAUUAAACCACCAAUAGUUUCUUCUCAGGAACUACAAAUAAGCAAGCUUGAAGGUGCAUGGAAAUCACAGUAUCUCACCUGGCAUGGAAAUCACCAGUAUCUCAGCUGUGAAGCUAUAGUCAUACACAUAUUGACUUUCUAACAGUGACCAUGCUGAGCUGUUCAUCUCCUUGCCCAUUACUUUUCAUAACGCCCUGUGGCUCCUGGCCAUAUGAAGACAGCAGGCCAUGGUGGUAAAAAUCAGGAAUAUUGGAGCCUGGAGUCAAAACAAGUAGUGAGAGCUAGAGGAGAAUGUGAAAGGAAAACAAUUUAUCCUAAAACAUUCAAUAUCAAGACUUAAUCCACUGAUUUGUGUUUUCCUGUUGAUAUUGAUGAAUUUAGGAACCUAUGUAAAAUGCUGAUAAUUUUCAGAGACUAAUAUGUUGGCUCUUAUUUAUAGAUUAAUAGUCUAUUGAUUGGUGGUGGUGGACUUCCAAAGGCUAAAACAAAACAAAAUACCUUCAAAAAGAAAAAAAAAAAAAAAAGAAUGCUAUCUAUCCAGAGGGAUCUACCAUCAGUUCCAUAAGUUACAAUGGACAAAGCUGCUGUUAACCAAUUGGGUAAGAUAGGGCUUGCCAUCUUUGUUGCACAAGAAAGAAUCUUCCAUCCCAACUAAGCAAGCCACUUCUCUGAUUCAAUUGUUUCUCUCCAUCUUUCACCUCAGGCAUAUUUGAACUGAAAUAUCUCCAGCCUCCCUUCUCAACAGCUGCAAAUUAACUGCAAUGAUCCCAGCACACGAUGCAACAGGUGGCUUGGCGCCUCACUCUGCAAUGGGGCACUGCAAAGGAAGGAAUGCAGCAGUGAGUCCUGGUGCUUGCAAGUGCUCUCGGAUUUACAGUUAUGUAGGAAGUAAUGGGCUGAAACCAAGUAUGCCAUUUAAUAGAGGAAAAGAACAUGGAAGAGGAAUAUGGCUUCCCCUGAAUGUGCUUGCACUCUGAGGUGGAAGCCAGCAGAAGGAAAGAUCCUACUAACUGUAGAAUGUUCACAAACAUAGCAGAGUCAUGGUCAUUGUGGUACUUUCCCCUCUGAGAGGGGCAAUACUAACAUCAAACUAGUGUCAAGUUUCUGAAUGAAUUAUAUUCUGCCUAUGGCAAAUAUUAACCUUUAGAAAACACAUUUCAAGUAAUUAUUGUACUUCAGCUCUAAAAGCAAAGCAGGCUUUGCUUAUCACAAAUUUUUGCAUAUCAUAAAACCUGAGCUACUAACGCCUGAGGUGUUAUAAAACUCUAAGAGGUUUUAAUGGAAAUCCUAACUUGUUUGGACUUCCCGGAGUAGUAUUUCCAGGGGCAGGAGCACGAGGGGCUGCAGACACCUCCACGUCGCAGAACUAGGACAAGUUCAGCAAACUUAGUCUUGUCUGUGGUAAGGAGGUGGUGGGAGUGGAAGGUAUGGGGCUUGUAGGAGUAGAACGAGAUGACUUCUCCAGGAGUGCUUAUUCAAUCUUACAUACCACCAUGCACACAUAUAUAGCUCAAGUCUGGUGUUACACUGGAGUUAAUCAGCCCUUCAAACACCACAAAGCACACUGCAUGGGCAGGGUGUGAGGCUGGAUAUGUCUACAACUCAUUCCCCAGUGAACCACACAAAAGCAUUAUCCAAGAUGUUUACGACUUGAGCAGGAAAUGACACAAAUGGAAGAUAAAUAACCAUAAAAACAUUUUCAACUGUACUCAAAGUAGCUGAUCAGCAUGGAAGGCAGUUCUGUGCAUCCAGAACAAGUGACAUUGGAUCACAAAAAUUUCUGUAGUUCACGAGUGAGAAAGUGAAAGACAGAUCUCAUCUCUCCUCAGCAUCCCACACCUGGACCCAAAAAGAACCUCAAGUUUAAGACACAAACACAACACACAGGGACUCUUCUCAAACAGUUUAAUAGCAAAUAAACAAAGGAAGGUACCACACUUGGCAUAUACAAAAUGACUUAUUGUCGGUGUGUCUGUGCAAUUAAAACAGCUUUAAGUUGCCCUUUGGGACAAAAAAAAAACAACACACACACAAAAGGAAGAAAAUUCCUUUAACACAUACUCGCUUGAUCCAAAC